AAAUGAAUAGACGGGGGCCCGCACAAGCAGCGGAGCAUGUGGUUUAAUUCGAAGCAACGCGAAGAACCUUACCAAGGCUUGACAUCCUCUGACGACUGUAGAAAUACAGUUUUCCUUCGGGACAGAGAGACAGGUGGUGCAUGGUUGUCGUCAGCUCGUGUCGUGAGAUGUUGGGUUAAGUCCCGCAACGAGCGCAACCCCUAUCACUAGUUGCCAGCAUUUCGGAUGGGAACUCUAGCGAGACUGCCGGGGACAACUCGGAGGAAGGUGGGGACGACGUCAAAUCAUCAUGCCCCUUAUGUCUUGGGCUACACACGUGCUACAAUGGCCGGUACAAAGGGCUGCAACAACGCAAGUUGAAGCGAAUCUCAAAAAGCCGGUCCCAGUUCGGAUUGUGGGCUGCAACCCGCCCACAUGAAGUCGGAGUUGCUAGUAAUCGCGAAUCAGCAUGUCGCGGUGAAUGCGUUCCCGGGCCUUGUACACACCGCCCGU
rnacentral:rRNA from 1 species